rnacentral:rRNA from 1 species
GACGAACGCUGGCGGCGUGCUUAACACAUGCAAGUCGAACGGUAAGGCCCUUCGGGGUACACGAGUGGCGAACGGGUGAGUAACACGUGGGUGAUCUGUCCUGCACUUCGGGAUAAGCCUGGGAAACUGGGUCUAAUACCGGAUAGGACCCUGGGAUGCAUGUCCUGGGGUGGAAAGCUUUUGCGGUUUGGGAUGGGCCCGCGGCCUAUCAGCUUGUUGGUGGGGUGAUGGCCUACCAAGGCGACGACGGGUAGCCGGCCUGAGAGGGUGACCGGCCACACUGGGACUGAGAUACGGCCCAGACUCCUACGGGAGGCAGCAGUGGGGAAUAUUGCACAAUGGGCGCAAGCCUGAUGCAGCGACGCCGCGUGAGGGAUGACGGCCUUCGGGUUGUAAACCUCUUUCAGCACCGACGAAGCGCAAGUGACGGUAGGUGCAGAAGAAGGACCGGCCAACUACGUGCCAGCCGCCGCAGUAA